AACUGAUACUACCUGCGGGAACCUGCGGAAGGAUCAUUAACGAGUUUUGAAGUGGGAUUGAUGCUGGCCUUCCGAGGCAUGUGCUCGUCCUCGCUCAUCCACUCACAACACCUGUGCACUGUUGAGGUGUGGCCCCCCUUCAAUGGAGCCGUUCCCCCCUAGGGGGUCGAGCCGGGGUCAGGCCUUCUUCGUCACAAACAACUCGUAAUGUCUAUUCGGAAUGUAAUGCUUCAUGUUAAU
rnacentral:misc_RNA from 1 species